AAGUCGUAACAAGGUUUCCGUAGGUGAACCUGCGGAAGGAUCAUUAACACUUUUUAUUAUUUUGUUUUUUUUCUAAAACAAAAUUUAAAACCCCACAAUUUUGGAUGAAUUUAAUUAAUUUAUUUUUUAUUUUAUUUUUUUUUUAUUAUAACCCUAUUAUUUGACUAACAUUUUUAUUUAAUUAUUAAAAAAUUAAAAAAACAACUCUUAACAACGGAUAUCUUGGCUCUC
rnacentral:misc_RNA from 1 species